GAUAAACGCUGGCGGCGUGCAUAACACAUGCAAGUCGAACGAUGAAGCUUAGAUGAUUUCUUCGGAAUGAACUUAAGUGGAUUAGUGGCGAACGGGUGAGUAGCACGCGAGUAACCUGCCUUACACAAGGGGAUAGCCUCUGGAAACGGAGAAUAAUACCCUAUAAAGUCUAAUCAGCCCAUGCUGGAAAGACCAAAGAUUUAUCGGUGUAAGAUGGACUUGCGUCUGAUUAGCUAGUUGGUGAGAUAAAAGCUCACCAAGGCGACGAUCAGUAGCCGGCUUGAGAGAGUGUACGGCCACAUUGGGACUGAGACACGGCCCAAACUCCUACGGGAGGCAGCAGUGGGGAAUUUUGCACAAUGGGGGAAACCCUGAUGCAGCGACGCCGCGUGAUUUAGAAGGCCUUCGGGUUGUAAAAAUCUUUUUUACGGGAUGAAAAUGACAGUACCGUAAGAAUAAGGUCCGGCUAAAUACGUGCCAGCAGCCGCGGUAAUACGUAUGGACCGAGCGUUGUCCGGAAUCAUUGGGCGUAAAGGGUACGUAGGCGGCCUAGUAAGUUAGAAGUUAAAGAAUAUAGCUCAACUAUAUAAAGCUUUUAAAACUGCUAGGCUUGAGAGAUGGAAGGGAAAGUGGAAUUCCUAGUGUAGCGGUGAAAUGCGCAGAUAUUAGGAAGAAUACCGGUGGCGAAGGCGACUUUCUGGUCAUCAUCUGACGCUGAGGUACGAAAGCGUGGGUAGCAAACAGG
rnacentral:rRNA from 1 species